GAUGAACGCUGGCGGCGUGCCUAAUACAUGCAAGUCGAGCGAAAAGACGAGAAGCUUGCUCCUCUGACGUUAGCGGCGGACGGGCGAGUAACACGUGGAUAACCAUCCUCUUAUACUGGGAUAAUUUCGGGAAACCGCAUCCAAUAACGGCUCAUAUAAUCAACCGCUUGGAUCAAUAGUGCAUGACGCCUUUGCUGUUACAUAUAGAUGGAUCCGCGCCGCAUUAGCUAGUUGGUAAGGUAACGGCUGACCAAGGCAACGAUGCGUAGCUGACCUGAGAGGGUGAUCGGCCACACUGGAACUGAGACACGGUCCAGACUCCUACGGGAGGCAGCAGUAGGGAAUAUUCCGCAAAGGGCGAAAGCCUGACGGAGCAACGCCGCGUGAGUGAUGAAGGUCUUCGGGUCGUAAAGCUCUGUUAUUAGGGAAGAACAAAUGUGUAAGAAACUAUGCACGUCUUGACGGUACCUAAACAGAAAGCCACGGCUAACUACGUG
rnacentral:rRNA from 1 species